rnacentral:rRNA from 1 species
UACGGGGGGGGCAAGCGUUGUUCGGAAUUACUGGGCGUAAAGGCUCGUAGGCGGCCAACUAAGUCGGAUGUGAAAUCCCCAGGCUUAACCUGGGAACUGCAUCCGAUACUGGAUGGCUUGAAUCCGGGAGAGGGAUGCAGAAUUCCAGGUGUAGCGGUGAAAUGCGUAGAUAUCUGGAGGAAUACCGGUGGCGAAGGCGGCAUCCUGGACCGGCAUUGACGCUGAUGAGCGAAAGCUAGGGAGCAACGGG